rnacentral:rRNA from 1 species
GUACACAAAAAUGCACAUACUGUGAGCUCGAUGAGUAGGGCGGGACACGUGGUAUCCUGUCUGAAUAUGGGGGGACCAUCCUCCAAGGCUAAAUACUCCUGACUGACCGAUAGUGAACCAGUACCGUGAGGGAAAGGCGAAAAGAACCCCGGCGAGGGGAGUGAAAAAGAACCUGAAACCGUGUACGUACAAGCAGUGGGAGCACGCUUAGGCGUGUGACUGCGUACCUUUUGUAUAAUGGGUCAGCGACUUAUAUUCUGUAGCAAGGUUAACCGAAUAGGGGAGCCGAAGGGAAACCGAGUCUUAACUGGGCGUUAAGUUGCAGGGUAUAGACCCGAAACCCGGUGAUCUAGCCAUGGGCAGGUUGAAGGUUGGGUAACACUAACUGGAGGACCGAACCGACUAAUGUUGAAAAAUUAGCGGAUGACUUGUGGCUGGGGGUGAAAGGCCAAUCAAACCGGGAGAUAGCUGGUUCUCCCCGAAAGCUAUUUAGGUAGCGCCUCGUGAAUUCAUCUCCGGGGGUAGAGCACUGUUUCGGCAAGGGGGUCAUCCCGACUUACCAACCCGAUGCAAACUGCGAAUACCGGAGAAUGUUAUCACGGGAGACACACGGCGGGUGCUAACGUCCGUCGUGAAGAGGGAAACAACCCAGACCGCCAGCUAAGGUCCCAAAGUCAUGGUUAAGUGGGAAACGAUGUGGGAAGGCCCAGACAGCCAGGAUGUUGGCUUAGAAGCAGCCAUCAUUUAAAGAAAGCGUAAUAGCUCACUGGUCGAGUCGGCCUGCGCGGAAGAUGUAACGGGGCUAAACCAUGCACCGAAGCUGCGGCAGCGACGCUUAUGCGUUGUUGGGUAGGGGAGCGUUCUGUAAGCCUGUGAAGGUGUGCUGUGAGGCAUGCUGGAGGUAUCAGAAGUGCGAAUGCUGACAUAAGUAACGAUAAAGCGGGUGAAAAGCCCGCUCGCCGGAAGACCAAGGGUUCCUGUCCAACGUUAAUCGGGGCAGGGUGAGUCGACCCCUAAGGCGAGGCCGAAAGGCGUAGUCGAUGGGAAACAGGUUAAUAUUCCUGUACUUGGUGUUACUGCGAAGGGG